CACCAGGUUGAUUCUGCCAGUAAUAUACGCUUGUUUUAAAGAUUAAGCCAUGCAAUUUGUGUUUACUUACACAUAGAGGAGUACGGCUCAGUAAGACGGUGAUUAAGAACUCUGCGAUGGAAGAUAACUAUGGGAAUUCUAUAGCUAAGAUCAAGAGCAUUUUCAUUAGAAGGAAAAAUGUAGCAGAAUCUGUCAUUGUACCAUCAACUAGAUGGCUGGGUAAUGGCCAGCCAUGGUAUUUACGGUUGCGGGGAAUUAGCGUUCGAUUCCGGAGAGGGAGCCUUCGAAACGGCUACCAUGUCCAAGGACAGCAGCAGGCGCGAAACUUACCCACUUUUGGAAACAAAGAGGUAGUGACAAGACAUAAUACAAGAGAGCAUAUUGUAAAAAGAUAUGCGAGAGCGAUUGGAGGGCAAGUCUGGUGCCAGCAGCCGCGGUAAUUCCAGCUCCGAGAGCGUAUGUUAAUUUUGCUGCAGUUAAAAGGUCCGCAUUCUGGAGUCUUAAGGUGAGCAAACAAGUGGGAUUCAAGCUAUUUGCAAGCACGAAUAUAAGAUUUCUUGGGAGCAUCUCGAUCCAACGGGAUUCGGCGAGGAGGAGUGAAACCCCAUGAUUCGGCGAGGACCAACAGAGGCGAAGGCAGUUGGAGGGAGAGUGUCCGACGAACAUGGACGAAGGCCAGGGGAGCGAAGAUGAUUAGACACCGUUGUAGUCCUGGCAGUAAACGGCCCACAGCAUGUGUUUUUAAUUUAGAUGCGUGCAUACGAAAGUAAGUGGGUUCUGGGGGGAGUAUUGUCGCAAGGCUGGAACUUGAAGGAAUUGACGGAAGGGCACCACCAGGGGUGGAUUCUGCGGCUUAAUUCGACUCAACACGGGGAAACUUACCAGGAGAUGAUAUGGGGAAGAACUUUUAGGUGAUUCCAUACGAGGUGGUGCAUGGCCGUUCUUGGUUCGUGAGGUGACUUGUCAGGUUUAUUCCGGUAACGAGCGACUCCACAAACACAGCUAUGGAACAUAGAGGAAGAGUGGACAAAACAGGUCUGAGAUGCCCCUUGAUGUUCUGGGCCGCACGCGGAAUACAAUGGUCAUUUGGGUUGAAAUAAAAUACAAGUGAUCUUAUGGGAUUGAGCUUUUCAAUAGGUUCAUGAACGAGGAAUCCCUAGUAAGCGUCAUUUAUCAAAUGAAGUUGAAUAAGUCCCUGCCCUUUGUACACACCGCCCGUCGAUACUACCGAUGUUCUAGCGAGCGA
rnacentral:rRNA from 1 species